GACGAACGCUGGCGGCGUGCUUAACACAUGCAGGUCGAACGGAAAGGCCCUGCUUUUGUGGGGUGCUCGAGUGGCGAACGGGUGAGUAACACGUGAGUAACCUGCCCUUGACUUUGGGAUAACUUCAGGAAACUGGGGCUAAUACCGGAUAGGAGCUCCUGCUGCAUGGUGGGGGUUGGAAAGUUUCGGCGGUUGGGGAUGGACUCGCGGCUUAUCAGCUUGUUGGUGGGGUAGUGGCUUACCAAGGCUUUGACGGGUAGCCGGCCUGAGAGGGUGACCGGCCACAUUGGGACUGAGAUACGGCCCAGACUCCUACGGGAGGCAGCAGUGGAGAAUAUUGCACAAUGGGCGGAAGCCUGAUGCAGCAACGCCGCGUGCGGGAUGACGGCCUUCGGAUUGUAAACCGCUUUCGCCUGUGACGAAGCGUGAGUGACGGUAAUGGGUAAAGAAGCACCGGCUAACUACGUG
rnacentral:rRNA from 1 species